rnacentral:rRNA from 1 species
AUAAACCCUGCUGGAGUGGUAGUCACGACCACAACCUCCACGUCAUUUGUGAAUAGUGGGCGAUCCAGGCCAAGCCCAGAGCGAUCCGAUCCAUUUACUGUUCGACAGGGGCAGCGAAAGAAAAAAAGGAAGGGCAUCGCGUCCUUCCUCCCGAGCCCGCGUCCCACCUCGAACCCUAGCCGCCGCCACCUCCUCCUCCUGCCACCUCAGUCGCCUCUCCCUUCCCCCUCCCUCCCUGCAUCUCGUCCGCCCCGGGUGCGGAGGCGAGCUUCCCGGCGACGGUGGUGGCGCUGGAUUCCCUAGCCGCCGCUACCCACCCUCGCAGCCUCCCUUCCCCUCGCCUCUGCACUCCCCCCGAGCACCUCCCAGCCGCCGGGAUCUGCCUCCCCUGCACGAUUUGAGGCCGCCGACGAGAAGUGGUUUCUUUUUCUGGUUGGUUGGGUGACAGGUGGUAUGGGGAUCUCGCACCCGCAGUCCGACGAGUUCUACGGAGGGCCCCGAGGAGCCGGGGUGGGCAGCGCGCUACUGCUGUCGCCGGAGAGGACGCCCCCAUCCUCGCCACAGCCGCCCGCGUCCCACUGCUCGCCCGAGGACGACCAUGACUUCCUCCAGCACGAGGUCUCCCGGAUGGACACGCUCGCCGGCAUCGCCAUCAA